rnacentral:lncRNA from 1 species
UAGUGGCAAGGGAGCGCAGUGGCGUCUCCAGCAACCAGGGUUCGAUCCACGUCGGGGACGAAUUUCUGGUUUCUCAUGAGGGAUGCUUCUUCUAUAUCAAUAAAACCAUGGGUGCUAGUGCCCAUGGAGUUUCAUUUUUUCAAGUUGGAAUUGGAUAUAUUUUUCGAAAAGGAAGAUAACCCCAAGUUGGAAUUGGAUGUACAUGAUGGUAAAUGAAGAAGAGAAAACUGUGAAGAGCAAAUCCAAGUACUGAUAGCAUUGACACCAUGGUAAGGAAGAGCAAAUCCAAGUACUGUUGCCGGUAUUGGCACACACUAUGGAUCGAAGCAAGGGCCAAGGGCACAACAAGAAGCAAGCAUGUGGGUCUGUCUUCCCAGCACAUUGAUGGGCACAACGGUACAAAAAGCGCAUAUGUUUUGUAUUUGCAAGGGCC